GUUGGUGGCUUAACGCCGGGGUCACACCCGUUCUCAUUCCGAACACGGAAGUUAAGCCCGGUAGUGGCGAUGAUACUCGCAAGGGGAAAGUAGCUAGCCGCCAGCA
rnacentral:rRNA from 1 species